rnacentral:rRNA from 1 species
GCAGUAGCCGCGGGAAUACAGAGGGUGCGAGCGUUAAUCGGAUUUACUGGGCGUAAAGCGUGCGUAGGCGGCUUUUUAAGUCGGAUGUGAAAUCCCUGAGCUUAACUUAGGAAUUGCAUUCGAUACUGGGAAGCUAGAGUAUGGGAGAGGAUGGUAGAAUUCCAGGUGUAGCGGUGAAAUGCGUAGAGAUCUGGAGGAAUACCGAUGGCGAAGGCAGCCAUCUGGCCUAAUACUGACGCUGAGGUACGAAAGCAUGGGGAGCAAACAGGAUUAGAGACCCGCGUAGUCCCUGUCUCUUAUAA